UACGGGGGGGGCAAGCGUUGUUCGGAAUUACUGGGCGUAAAGGGCUCGUAGGCGGCCAACUAAGUCGAACGUGAAAUCCCCCGGCUCAACCGGGGAACUGCGUCCGAUACUGGAUGGCUUGAAUCCGGGAGAGGGAUGCGGAAUUCCAGGUGUAGCGGUGAAAUGCGUAGAUAUCUGGAGGAACACCGGUGGCGAAGGCGGCAUCCUGGACCGGCAUUGACGCUGAGGAGCGAAAGCCAGGGGAGCAAAC
rnacentral:rRNA from 1 species